rnacentral:rRNA from 1 species
CCUACGGGAGGCAGCAGUGAGGAAUAUUGGUCAAUGGGCGGAAGCCUGAACCAGCCAAGUAGCGUGCAGGAUGACGGCCCUACGGGUUGUAAACUGCUUUUAUACGGGAAUAACGCGCCUUACGUGUAGGGCUUUGCAUGUACCGUAUGAAUAAGGACCGGCUAAUUCCGUGCCAGCAGCCGCGGUAAUACGGAAGGUCCGGGCGUUAUCCGGAUUUAUUGGGUGUAAAGGGAGCGUAGGCCGCAUGUCAAGCGUGCUGUGAAAGGUCCGGGCUCAACCCGGGCCGUGCAGGGGAAACUGGCGGGAUUGAGUCCACGGAAGGCAGGGGGAAUUCGUCGUGUAGCGGUGAAAUGCUUAGAUAUGACGAAGAACCCCGAUUGCGAAGGCAGCUUGCUGCAGCGGAACUGACGCUGAUGCUCGAAAGCGCGGGUAUCGAACAGGAUUAGAUACCCUAGUAGUC